rnacentral:rRNA from 1 species
GGGGAAUCUUCCGCAAUGGACGAAAGUCUGACGGAGCAACGCCGCGUGAGUGAUGACGGCCUUCGGGUUGUAAAGCUCUGUUAAUCGGGACGAAUGGUUCUUGUGCGAAUAGUGCGAGAAUUUGACGGUACCGGAAUAGAAAGCCACGGCUAACUACGUGCCAGCAGCCGCGGUAAUACGUAGGUGGCAAGCGUUGUCCGGAAUUAUUGGGCGUAAAGCGCGCGCAGGCGGAUUGGUCAGUCUGUCUUAAAAGUUCGGGGCUUAACCCCGUGAUGGGAUGGAAACUGCCAAUCUAGAGUAUCGGAGAGGAAAGUGGAAUUCCUAGUGUAGCGGUGAAAUGCGUAGAUAUUAGGAAGAACACCAGUGGCGAAGGCGACUUUCUGGACGAAAACUGACGCUGAGGCGCGAAAGCCAGGGGAGCGAACGGGAUUAGAUACCCCGGUAGUCCUGGCCGUAAACGAUGGGUACUAGGUGUAGGAGGUAUCGACCCCUUCUGUGCCGGAGUUAACGCAAUAAGUACCCCGCCUGGGGAGUACGACCGCAAGGUUG